UACAGGGGGUGCAAACGUUGCUCGGAAUUAUUGGGCGUAAAGCGCGCGUAGGCGGCUACUUAAGUCGGAUGUGAAAGCCCCUGGCUCAACUGGGGAAGUGCACCCGAAACUGAGUGGCUUGAGUGCGAAAGAGGGUCGCGGAAUUCCUGGUGUAGCGGUGAAAUGCGCAGAUAUCAGGAGGAACACCAAUAGCGAAGGCAGCUCGCUGGGACGUUACUGACACUGAGGCGCGAAAGCGUGGGGAGCGAACAGG
rnacentral:rRNA from 1 species